rnacentral:rRNA from 1 species
GAUACCCAGGUAGUCCACGCCGUAAACGAUGAGUGCUAAGUGUUAGAGGGUUUCCGCCCUUUAGUGCUGCAGCUAACGCAUUAAGCACUCCGCCUGGGGAGUACGGCCGCAAGGCUGAAACUCAAAGGAAUUGACGGGGGCCCGCACAAGCGGUGGAGCAUGUGGUUUAAUUCGAAGCAACGCGAAGAACCUUACCAGGUCUUGACAUCCUCUGACAACCCUAGAGAUAGGGCUUUCCCCUUCGGGGGACAGAGUGACAGGUGGUGCAUGGUUGUCGUCAGCUCGUGUCGUGAGAUGUUGGGUUAAGUCCCGCAACGAGCGCAACCCUUGAUCUUAGUUGCCAGCAUUCAGUUGGGCACUCUAAGGUGACUGCCGGUGACAAACCGGAGGAAGGUGGGGAUGACGUCGAAUCAUCAUGCCCCUUAUGACCUGGGCUACACACGUGCUACAAUGGAUGGUACAAAGGGCUGCAAACCUGCGAAGGUAAGCGAAUCCCAUAAAGCCAUUCUCAGUUCGGAUUGCAGG